AGCGACGUUUAUGCGUUGUUGGGUAGGGGAGCGUUCUGUAAGCCUGCGAAGGUGGCCUGUGAGGGUUGCUGGAGGUAUCAGAAGUGCGAAUGCUGACAUAAGUAACGAUAAAGCGGGUGAAAAGCCCGCUCGCCGGAAGACCAAGGGUUCCUGUCCAACGUUAAUCGGGGCAGGGUGAGUCGACCCCUAAGGCGAGGCCGAAAGGCGUAGUCGAUGGGAAACGGGUUAAUAUUCCCGUACUUGGUGUUACUGCGAAGGGGGGACGGAGAAGGCUAUGUUGGCCGGGCGACGGUUGUCCCGGUUUAAGCGUGUAGGUGUGUGUUCCAGGUAAAUCCGGUUCACUUUAACACUGAGGCGUGAUGACGAGGCACUACGGUGCUGAAGCAACAAAUGCCCUGCUUCCAGGAAAAGCCUCUAAGCAUCAGGUAACACGAAAUCGUACCCCAAACCGACACAGGUGGUCAGGUAGAGAAUACCAAGGCGCUUGAGAGAACUCGGGUGAAGGAACUAGGCAAAAUGGUGCCGUAACUUCGGGAGAAGGCACGCUGACACGUAGGUGAAGUGAUUUACUCAUGGAGCUGAAGUCAGUCGAAGAUACCAGCUGGCUGCAACUGUUUAUUAAAAACACAGCACUGUGCAAACACGAAAGUGGACGUAUACGGUGUGACGCCUGCCCGGUGCCGGAAGGUUAAUUGAUGGGGUCAGCGCAAGCGAAGCUCCUGAUCGAAGCCCCGGUAAACGGCGGCCGUAACUAUAACGGUCCUAAGGUAGCGAAAUUCCUUGUCGGGUAAGUUCCGACCUGCACGAAUGGCGUAAUGAUGGCCAGGCUGUCUCCACCCGAGACUCAGUGAAAUUGAACUCGCUGUGAAGAUGCAGUGUACCCGCGGCAAGACGGAAAGACCCCGUGAACCUUUACUAUAGCUUGACACUGAACAUUGAGCCUUGAUGUGUAGGAUAGGUGGGAGGCUUUGAAGUGUGGACGCCAGUCUGCAUGGAGCCGACCUUGAAAUACCACCCUUUAAUGUUUGAUGUUCUAACGUGGACCCGUUACCCGGGUUGCGGACAGUGUCUGGUGGGUAGUUUGACUGGGGCGGUCUCCUCCUAAAGAGUAACGGAGGAGCACGAAGGUUGGCUAAUCCUGGUCGGACAUCAGGAGGUUAGUGCAAUGGCAUAAGCCAGCUUGACUGCGAGCGUGACGGCGCGAGCAGGUGCGAAAGCAGGUCAUAGUGAUCCGGUGGUUCUGAAUGGAAGGGCCAUCGCUCAACGGAUAAAAGGUACUCCGGGGAUAACAGGCUGAUACCGCCCAAGAGUUCAUAUCGACGGCGGUGUUUGGCACCUCGAUGUCGGCUCAUCACAUCCUGGGGCUGAAGUAGGUCCCAAGGGUAUGGCUGUUCGCCAUUUAAAGUGGUACGCGAGCUGGGUUUAGAACGUCGUGAGACAGUUCGGUCCCUAUCUGCCGUGGGCGCUGGAGAACUGAGGGGGGCUGCUCCUAGUACGAGAGGACCGGAGUGGACGCAUCACUGGUGUUCGGGUUGUCAUGCCAAUGGCACUGCCCGGUAGCUAAAUGCGGAAGAGAUAAGUGCUGAAAGCAUCUAAGCACGAAACUUGCCCCGAGAUGAGUUCUCCCUGAGACUUAGAGUCUCCUGAAGGAACGUUGAAGACGACGACGUUGAUAGGCCGGGUGUGUAAGCGCAGCGAUGCGUUGAGCUAACCGGUACUAAUGAACCGUGAGGCUUAACCUUACAACGCCGAAG
rnacentral:rRNA from 1 species